CGUGACCUGGCACGAGAUAAAAAUCAAAAGAAGCAGGCUGAACAGACAAAAGGCAAAAUAACUGAUGGAAUGGCAGUGGAACAAUUUAAAUCCAAGAAAAAGGGAUAUCACAAGAACUGCAAAAAAUGUAUAAUGUCAUCUGAUAAUUUAGGGACGUUGAAUUAUGCCAGAAAAACAGAAGAAAAAGGAUAAAUAGUCUGUUGAUACUGCUGGACGGAGCAAAUAAAAACGCUUACAUGUAGAGAGGGCAGAGAUUAACGUACUGUCUUGCUUGGAGAGAAAACAUAUGAGAUCAAGCGCAAAACUUGGAGCAAAAAUCACAAUCUGGAGUGGUAUCUAUUCUUCUGGAUAUUAAAUUUUUAAUCACAAAUAAGUAGCUAAUAAGCUGCCAAAUAGCAACAUCUAAACACUCAUCUCACAAGAAUCUUGACAGAGCCGCUCGUCUUCACCAUGCUUGGCAUGCUUUCCUAGGACAGUAAAAGCCGGAGAGCGGUCCCAAAGUCAAAUUUGCAGCAAGCGUAGGCCCAUAGGAACAUGCCUUUACUCUUUCAAUAAGAAUUGGCUUGACCUCGGACAUUGGCUUUUGUCCAAGUACUGUAUACGCAGAAACGCAGAGACAUGGAUUUUAAAUAAUGUAAUGGAAAAUACAUUAUCAGAUUGGAAAUUAACGUAUGUUCAAUAAAAAUAGUCCUUUUUGGGUGUACACCUGGUUCGAGUUCCGGUCAACGCGUUCACAUCAUUUGGUUUUCACUCUUUCUACUCAUAAAGGUGACAGCUUGCACAUUAUAUAGAUGUAACAAUAAAUACAUACUCUGCAUAAUAACUGUUGGUUGAAUUCGGAUGUUCUUGUACAAGUUGGACUCAAAGUUUGAUAUGAAUUUGCAUUCGAUUCUGGGCGUUCAUGGUCGGGGAUUUAUGGUUAAUUCAUUCAAUCGUUAAUCUCGGCAAGUUUAUUACAAAACCGGAUUGCCUGACUACUGGAUUGCUCGUCCGUUCCUAAAAUGAACGGCGGUCGCCUGGCCAGUAACCAGCAUAUUGAUGAGGCCCCCAUACUUUCUUGAAUCGUUCUCAGACGCAUCAUGAUGUGCGCCAAUAUCGAUGAUAGAUAGUGAUUAUGUGUUCCGUGUUAAACUAAACGAGCAAAAUCAAUUGAUCAUCGAAUGCACUAAACAAAGACUCAAAACUUUGUUCGACAAAAUUCAAAUUUAAGGACUUUUAGUAAGCCCCUAAAUCGCAUGCCCUACUACGCGUUAUGUGAGUUGGAAAUGAGAAUGUUGAACUAGUUGAACUACGACAAUGGUUGUAGAUAACUUAUCUAACAUAUGUAUGUAGGUGUAAAUAAAAAAUA